AAAUGGCCAUACCUAUAUGGUUUAACACAAAUCGGUUCCUGCCCUGUUUUGAGAAUAAUUUGAUGGUCAGCUGGCCGAUGAGGAGGAAGAGAUCGAAUCUCGUCGAAGACAAUCUGGUGUUUCUCUAGUAGCCUGUGCAAUGCCGAUUCUUGUGAAGACGAGAGCUCAUUGGUGUGUAGUGGGGAAAUUUCAGCAUCGACCCCCCAAAGCAAAACAGAGAAGUCUACGUCCAAUAGUUUGCGGAUGGACUUCAGGGAAGAAGGCGUUCUCAUAAGAGACGGGUCACCCACUAGAGAAAC
rnacentral:lncRNA from 1 species